UCCUGAUCCGUUAAUUUAAGCGGGAGCUGAGAAUAUAGCUCACCGCAGCUCAGAGUUUCUUAACCAAUGUUUGCUUUUCUAGAACCUUGGAAUCUAUACACCAAAGAGUCUUCCUUCUCGAGUUGAAACUCAGAUAUAUCAGGGUCCUUCCAACCACAGUUCAAGAAGAAGCCUGUUGGAGAGAUGCCUUACUCUGGACUCCCACAACACCCUGAACUGAUGAUCUUCUGUGUGAGACUUAUCCCAGCUCCAUAAUCGGCUAUUAGGUUGGCCAUCUUUCCUAUGAUCCCGGAGUUCUGGAAACAAUCUUCCAUGGAUACCAAUGGAUGACUGUACAGUGAAAAAUCCAUGUACCCACACACAGCUUAAGAAACAGAAUAUUUUCAAGACCUUCAAAGCCAUCUGUGCAUCUCCCACCCCUUCCAAAAUUAAAUUUACUUUUGUAUCAAUCAA